UUGGGGUUUGAGCAGAGAGAUGUGUUGGGGUUUGAGCAGAGAGGUGUGUUGGAGUUUGAACAGAGAUAUGUGUUGGGGUUUGAGCAGAGAGAUGUGUUGGGGUUUGAGCAGAGAGAUGUGUUGGGGUUUGAGCAGAGAUAUGUGUUGGGGUUUGAGCAGAGAGAUGUGUUGGGGUUUGAGCAGAGAGAUGUGUUGGGGUUUGAGCAGAGAGAUGUGUUGGGGUUUGAGCAGAGAGAUGGUUUGAGCAGAGAGAUGUGUUGGGGUUUGAGCAGAGAGAUGUGUUGGGGUUUGAGCAGAGAGAUGUGUUGGGGUUUGAGCAGAGAGAUGUGUUGGGGUUUGAGCAGAGAGGUGUGUUGGGGUUUGAACAGAGAUAUGUGUUGGGGUUUGAGCAGAGAGAUGUGUUGGGGUUUGAGCAGAGAGAUGUGUUGGGGUUUGAGCAGAGAGAUGUGUUGGGGUUUGAGCAGAGAGAUGUGUUGGGGUUUGAACAGAGAGAUGUGUUGGGGUUUGAGCAGAGAGAUGGUUUGGGCAGAGAGAUGGUUUGAGCAGAGAGAUGUGUUGGGGUUUGAGCAGAGACAUGUGUUGGGGUUUGAGCAGAGAGAUGUGUUGGGGUUUGAGCAGAGACAUGUGUUGGGGUUUGAGCAGAGAGAUGUGUUGGGGUUUGAACAGAGAUAUGUGUUGGGGUUUGAGCAGAGAGAUGUGUUGGGGUUUGAGUAGAGAGAUGUGUUGGGGUUUGAACAGAGAGAUGUGUUGGGGUUUGAGCAGAGACAUGUGUUGGGGUUUGAGCAGAGAGAUGUGUUGGGGUUUGAGCAGAGACAUGUGUUGGGGUUUGAGCAGAGAGAUGGUUUGAGCAGAGAGAUGUGUUGGGGUUUGAGCAGAGACAUGUGUUGGGGUUUGAGCAGAGAGAUGGUUUGAGCAGAGAGAUGUGUUGGGGUUUGAACAGAGACAUGUGUUGGGGUUUGAGCAGAGACAUGUGUUGUGGUUUGAGCAGAGAGAUGGUUUGAGCAGAGAGAUGUGUUGGGGUUUGAGCAGAGAGAUGUGUUGGGGUUUGAGCAGAGACAUGUGUUGGGGUUUGAGCAGAGAGAUGUGUUGGGGUUUGAGCAGAGAUAUGUGUUGGGGUUUGAGCAGAGAGAUGUGUUGGGGUUUGAACAGAGACAUGUGUUGGGGUUUGAACAGAGACAUGUGUUGGGGUUUGAACAGAGACAUGUGUUGGGGCUUGAGUACUUUAGUUUGAGAGUAUGUCUACUUACUGUUGUGCUUAAACACCCAAAUAGUUGCCCCUGACAACCUGGCUCCCAAGAUCAGCGAGGUGUGGUUCAGCUCAUCACUCAGAAUCAGACAGCCCU